rnacentral:rRNA from 1 species
UAGGGAAUCUUCUGCAAUGGACGAAAGUCUGACCGAGCAACGCCGCGUGAGUGAAGAAGGUUUUCGGAUCGUAAAACUCUGUUGUUAGAGAAGAACAAGGACGUUAGUAACUGAACGUCCCCUGACGGUAUCUAACCAGAAAGCCACGGCUAACUACGUGCCAGCAGCCGCGGUAAUACGUAGGUGGCAAGCGUUGUCCGGAUUUAUUGUGCGUAAAGCGAGCGCAGGCGGUUUCUUAAGUCUGAUGUGAAAGCCCCCGGCUAAACCGGGGAGGGUCAUUGGAAACUGGGAGAGUUGAGUGCAGAAGAGGAGAGUGGAAAUCGAUGUGUAGCGGUGAAAUGCGUAGAUAUAUGGAGGAACACCAGUGGCGAAGGCGGCGCUCUGGUCUGUAACUGACGCUGAGGCUCGAAAGCGUGGGGAGCAAACAGG